rnacentral:rRNA from 1 species
UCAUAUGCUUGUCUCAAAGAUUAAGCCAUGCAAGUGUCAGUUCAUGCCAAACUAAGGUGAAACCGCGAAAUGCUCAUUAAAUCAGUUAUAGUUUACUUGAUGGCAUGACGUUACCGUUACUUGGAUAACUGUGGCAAUUCUAGAGCUAAUACAUGAACUCGAGUCCCGACCGUUCGUGCGGAAGGGAUGCUUUUAUUAGAUCAAAAUCAAUCGGGAAAUCGUCGGGCUUUGCCGGGCGACGUACCGUACAGUCUUGGUGACUCUGGAUAAAUUGUCGCUGAUCGCAAGGUCUCCGCACCUGCGACGCAUCUUUCAAAUGUCUGACUUAUCAACUAUCGACGGUAUGCCACGUGCCUACCGUGGUGGUAACGGGUAACGGGGAAUCAGGGUUCGAUUCCGGAGAGGGAGCCUGAGAAACAGCUACCACAUCCAAGGAAGGCAGCAGGCGCGCAAAUUACCCACUCCCGGCACGGGGAGGUAGUGACGAAAAAUAACGAUGCAGAACUCUAUAAUGAGGCUCUGCAAUCGGAAUGAGAAGACUCUAAAUCAUUUACCGAGUAUCCAUUGGAGGGCAAGUCUGGUGCCAGCAGCCGCGGUAAUUUCAGCUUCCAAUAGCGU